GAGGCCCUUGCGCAGGGGGGAGCCAGCGGCUCGGCGCUAGUAGCCACCAUCUUACACCACCACCACCACCCCAGUCUCCACCCCUUCGCCCGGGCGCGAGGUGGUGGCGCCCGCCGAGCCCACUUCCCCCACUGACAGGUAAAGAAGAAAGUAGCCAGUUCUUUCAUUUCAAGCUGCAUCAACUUUUUUUAAAAUUUAACCCUAGAAAACAGUGUCUAACUUUUGCUGACUUUAUAAACAAUUUUAUGUAACAGGCUAAAUUGGACUUUUGUUACCUUGGGCAACUUGGAAUACUUCUGCACUACAGUACCCUCAUCAAGAUUAACACUUGGGUUGAGUUUAGAAAAGCUUGGAUGGAACACUUCAAAUGGGAGCUGCCAAUAAACAUUUUAUGAAAAACAACAACAACAACAAGGUAACUUAUUUCACAAUGAUCAUUAGAUUUUCAAUCCUAUAUGUAACUGAAGAAUACUGGGACAAUUGCUGUCAUUAAAAAGGAUUCCUUUUA